UACGGGGGGGGCAAGCGUUGUUCGGAAUUACUGGGCGUAAAGGGUUCGUAGGUGGCUUGCUUAGUCAGACGUGAAAUCCCUCAGCUUAACUGGGGAACUGCGUCUGAUACUGGCGAGCUUGAGUGCAGGAGAGGAACGCGGAAUUCCAGGUGUAGCGGUGAAAUGCGUAGAUAUCUGGAGGAACACCGGUGGCGAAGGCGGCGUCUGGACUGCAACUGACACUGAUGAACGAAAGCCAGGGGAGCAAACGGG
rnacentral:rRNA from 1 species